rnacentral:hammerhead_ribozyme from 1 species
AUUCAGAUGACGAGUUCCAAAUAGGACGAAACUCAUGUGCUGAAU